CAACGCCGCGUGGAGGAUGAAGUCCCUUGGGAUGUAAACUCCUUUCGACCGGGACGAUUAUGACGGUACCGGAAGAAGAAGCACCGGCUAACUCUGUGC
rnacentral:rRNA from 1 species